rnacentral:rRNA from 1 species
UACAGAGGAGCCAAGCGUUGUCCGGAUUGACUGGGCGUAAAGCGCACGCAGGCGGGUGUGCGCGGGGGGUGUGAAAUCUGGCCGCUUAACGGCCAGGCGCCAUCCCAUACGGCACGCCUGGAGUGAUGCAGAGGUCGAUGGAAUUGCCGGUGUAGUGGUGAAAUGCGUAGAGAUCGGCAGGAACACCCAGGGGGAAACCAGUCGACUGGGCAUCUACUGACGCUGAGGUGCGAGAGCGUGGGGAGCGAACAGG